UUUAUACUGCAGGCUGCUCUCUUGUGACAGUGUUUUCAAGGACACGAGCGCUCUCACUGCAGUUAGAGGACAGUUUCCACCUUCUCUUCCCCUGCAGGGUAGAACCAGAGGUUGCCCAUCCUAGGGACAAGGAUGGUAUUAGGGGCUUAGCUGUGAGGGGCAUAACUGUGCAUGAGCAGUGAUUUGUUGGGAGCUGAGGUUACUUCUUUUUUUUUUUUUUUUUUUUUUUCUUUUUUUGGUAGAAAGUAGCAAAAUGUUGAUUUGUUCUGUUGCUACAUCUACAAUGUUAAGAAGUUCUUGCACUUACAUGUUUAUGCAACAUGUCUUUUCACUGAACAGGCUUUUUAGAGAGUCUCCCUUUUAAGUAGGCCAGCUCCUUCUUGGUAUUGCCGAUGUGAAAGGAAAAUACAGGAGCCACACUCCCACUACAUCAUCAGACUAGCAGUUUUCAACCCAUGAACAUUUAUUUUGGAGGAAUUCAUGAAUGGUGACUUAAGAAUGAAUUUUUAUGUGCUGUAUGGGAAUCUGCAUAUGUGCCAUUCAUAUGCUUCCAGUGUCAAAUUUGGUCUGCAAAUCAAUGUAGGUUGAAAAGCCAUGCACAGCAGAGGGAUCUAGAAGAGAAAGGGGAAUUAAGACAUCUCAACAUACACAGUCUUCCGGUCCAAAAAGUGUCCUCUUUUUCGUGGUUUCUGGUUCUCCUCUUAGAAUAUGAUUGCUAGAAACUUAAGGAAAAAAGAAAGGGGGGAAACAAUCCAUG